CCGCGGGAGCGGGCGCCGCCAGCUUUCCUCGGCGCGGCGGGAGGCGGCGGCCGUCGGGGAGCAGGCUCGGCGGGCUGAGGCGCUGCGCCCGCUGCAGGGAGGCGGCGGCGUCCGGCGAUGGGGACCGAGCGGAGGCAUCGCGCCGGGCCGUGACCGCCGCGCCGCCGCCUCAGGCGCUCUCGGAGCGCCGACGCUGAGGACCAUGGCCCUGGAGCAGCUCUGCGCGGUCCUCAAAGUGUUGCUAAUAACAGUACUUGUAGUGGAAGGGAUUGCUGUGGCCCAAAAGACCCAAGAUGGACAGAACAUUGGAAUCAAGCACAUUCCUGCAACCCAGUGUGGCAUUUGGGUUCGAACCAGCAAUGGAGGUCAUUUUGCUUCACCAAAUUAUCCUGACUCAUAUCCACCAAACAAAGAGUGUAUCUAUAUUUUGGAAGCUGCUCCUCGUCAACGGAUAGAGCUGACCUUUGACGAACGCUAUUAUAUAGAGCCAUCAUUUGAAUGUCGCUUUGAUCACUUGGAAGUUCGAGAUGGGCCAUUUGGUUUCUCACCUCUCAUAGAUCGUUACUGUGGCAUGAAAAGCCCUUCGUUAAUUAGGUCAACAGGAAGAUUCAUGUGGAUUAAAUUUAGUUCUGAUGAAGAACUUGAAGGACUAGGAUUUCGAGCAAAAUACUCAUUCAUCCCAGAUCCAGACUUUACUUACCUUGGAGGUAUUUUAAAUCCCAUCCCAGAUUGCCAGUUUGAGCUCUCAGGAGCUGAUGGAAUAAUACGUUCUAGCCAGGUAGAACAAGAAGAAAAAACAAAACCUGGCCAAGCAGUUGAUUGCAUUUGGACAAUUAAAGCCACCCCAAAAGCUAAGAUUUAUUUGAGGUUCUUAGAUUACCAAAUGGAACACUCAAAUGAAUGCAAGAGAAAUUUUGUGGCGGUCUAUGAUGGAAGCAGUGCUAUUGAAAAUCUGAAGGCCAAGUUUUGUAGCACUGUGGCUAAUGAUGUAAUGCUGAAAACAGGAGUGGGAGUGAUACGGAUGUGGGCAGAUGAAGGCAGUCGGCUUAGCAGGUUUAGGAUGCUCUUCACUUCCUUUGUGGAACCUCCCUGUACAAGCAGUACUUUCUUUUGCCAUAGCAACAUGUGCAUCAACAAUUCUUUGGUCUGUAAUGGUGUUCAAAACUGUGCGUACCCUUGGGAUGAGAACCACUGUAAAGAGAAGAAGAAAGCUGGACUAUUUGAACAAAUCACUAAAACUCAUGGAACAAUUAUUGGCAUCACAUCAGGGAUUGUCUUGGUUCUUCUCAUUAUUUCUAUUUUAGUACAAGUGAAACAGCCCCGGAAAAAGGUAAUGGCUUGUAAAACUGCAUUCAAUAAAACUGGGUUCCAGGAAGUAUUUGAUCCUCCUCAUUAUGAACUAUUUUCACUAAGAGAGAAAGAGAUUUCCGCAGACCUGGCAGAUUUGUCAGAAGAACUUGACAACUACCAGAAGAUGCGGCGCUCCUCCACGGCCUCCCGGUGCAUUCAUGACCACCACUGUGGCUCUCAAGCAUCCAGUGUCAAACAAAGCAGGACCAACCUCAGUUCCAUGGAACUUCCCUUCCGAAAUGAUUUUGCACAACCACAGCCAAUGAAAACAUUUAAUAGCACCUUCAAAAAAAGCAGCUACACUUUCAAACAAGCACAUGAGUGCCCUGAACAAGCUCUAGAGGACAGAGUAAUGGAAGAGAUCCCCUGUGAAAUUUAUGUCCGGGGGCGAGAUGAUUCUGCGCAAGCAUCCAUAUCCAUCGACUUCUAAUUGUCAGCUUAAGGCGUUAAUUAUUAAGUAUGUGUAUGCAGCCUACACCAACACCCAUUCUGUCUCAGCAACCAAUCUUGUUCUGUCAGAAUUUGAAAGACCUUCAUAAUCUUUCAUAAUGCUGAUGUUUUAUUAUCUCAGGCAAUCUAUAUAUGUGAAACCAACCAAGGAACUUAAUGUAUUCAGUGGAAAAAGUCAUCAUCCGUUGCUUGGUAUCUUAUCUACAAAAUACCAACAGUUCAAUAGUUGAGGAGCGCGUGGUCAUGUUGAGCCAGGCUCAGCAGCCUGGAGGUGUUGACAUCAGGAUACUGUUCUUGUUCACACAGCCCCAUCAAUUUGAUCCCACAGUAAAUUUAAAAUUCCGCAGAAACUCUCUGCCACACCCAAGCCUUUCUCCCACCAAGCCUACAAAGACUUGCAGCGUGAUGCCUGGGCGGCAAU